ensembl:lncRNA
GGGCUGCUCCAAAGGCUUCUAACAGCACUCCAGUCUUACCUACUUGACAGAAAGUGCAGCAGUCAUGAAGGGCUACCUGUGUGGAUAAUGGUAUUGGAGGAAGUUUGGGAUGAAAGCAUGUGAUCCGUAUUUACGCAAAUGUAGUGCUUUGAAAUCACACAAGGGAUAGGUAGAAGAGUUCCUAUGCUGCUGCUCAAAUCUCCUGGAUGGGGGAGAAUCUGCAGGAAGAUACGGCAUGUGAGACAAAAGCCUCCAUUGCACUGAGAUGAAGUGGAAAAAAGAAAAAUAAAAAGUAAGCUUCAGGAGAAAAAAUCCUGUUCUGAUGACUGGCACUUUCAGCAUAGUGAGAUUUCAAACCUGAGGGGGAUUCCUGAACCUGUCAGACCUUAACAGCCAACGCAAACAGAGGCAUCCCUUCCUUGACGGUGCAGUGUAGUAGGCUGACCAACUAGUUUUCCAUUUCCAAUUUUAGAUUUCAUGUAUAGUAUCCUUUUUUUUUAAACUUUAAUGAACGUCACCUUUCAAUAGUCCUUUAGAGAUAAGUAGGUUUCUGUAUUUUAGAGUGGGAAACUUAGUUAUAGAAAGCAGAUUCAUCUAUGGUCACAGGGAAAGCCAAAGAAAGGGAUGGACGGAAGUGCGCUGGCCGUGAUGGUGAUGCCUUAAUCCUUAAUGAAGCAGCAGCACCCCGGACUGAGACGAGCGGUAGAUCGUGGGGGAUAAAUCCAAGCGUGUUUGUAGUAUUCUGUUGUAGAAACUAGCCUCGGAUUAUUUGCCAGCAGGUUCUCUGUGUAUGUUUGUGUCUCCCCUCCUCACGGUUUCUCUAUUUUCUAUGAGAAUGUAUUUUUUGCACAUUUUUAAACUGCUACGUCCGUCUUUUACAUCUCAUGUUAGUAUCUGGCUUUGAGCUGCAUAGCCAAAAACAUUUGUAACAAUUUUUGUAAAUAAGGCUUAUGAUGAUGUAACAGCUAUUUUUUGCUGUGUUUUUUACCCAUAAACCUUAUAUUUCUACCAAAUGAAGCCAAUGUCAAAUAACCCUCCCAAACUGGCGAAAGCAACGUGGGUAUUCUUUGCAAAACAAUAGUUUUUGUUCAAGUGCGGCAAAGUAGGAGAAGACUGCUUUCAGAACAGUUGCUUUCUCUGCCUCGAGUGCAGAACAGGUCCUCUGAGCCGGCUGGAAUGCAGCUCCACGUGCACCGCGUGGGGAGCAAUUGACUCUUCUGUAUUUAAUUACUGUUUUGAGUAAACUGGCCUCUCGUUGCCUGGUUGGCUCACCCUCUGCUCCAUUUAUGUUAUUUAUCUGUAAUAACAGAACAUUAACUUGCAAUAGAAUGUUGUGACUAGAUAAUAGCCUACCGCUUUGGCAGUAAUUGCCUUGGCUGCACCUCGGUGUUUGUGUUCCUGUUUCUGGGGUUAUGGUGUCUUUUGUAUGAGCCCUGCUUCUGUUUUGGCACUUGUAUUGCACCAACAAAUCAUUAUCUGAUCACAACAUUUUAUUCAUUGGAUGUUAUUUUCUAAAUAAGAAAUCAGGAAUGGUAUUCUGCGUUAAAAAGUAUUUAAACUGAGAUUUGUAUGGUUUGCUGGGUCAAACAUUUAAAUGUUUCCAACCUGAAUUCUGUUUCUUCUACUUUCUGAUUAACUUGUUAGAUAUAUUUAUUAAGUACUGCAGUUUGUACUUUUUUAUUUUGUAAUAUAUUGUGAUUUUGGAAUUUAUACAGUAUUUGUAUAAUAGGAAUAUUCUCAGCUAAAAUGGAAUGAAUAAAGAAUAUAAUUUUACUUGUGCUCUUUUUCCC